rnacentral:rRNA from 1 species
GCAAGUCGAACGCUUUUUCUUUCACCGGAGCUUGCUCCACCGAAAGAAAAAGAGUGGCGAACGGGUGAGUAACACGUGGGUAACCUGCCCAUCAGAAGGGGAUAACACUUGGAAACAGGUGCUAAUACCGUAUAACACUAUUUUCCGCAUGGAAGAAAGUUGAAAGGCGCUUUUGCGUCACUGAUGGAUGGACCCGCGGUGCAUUAGCUAGUUGGUGAGGUAACGGCUCACCAAGGCAACGAUGCAUAGCCGACCUGAGAGGGUGAUCGGCCACACUGGGACUGAGACACGGCCCAGACUCCUACGGGAGGCAGCAGUAGGGAAUCUUCGGCAAUGGACGAAAGUCUGACCGAGCAACGCCGCGUGAGUGAAGAAGGUUUUCGGAUCGUAAAACUCUGUUGUUAGAGAAGAACAAGGAUGAGAGUAAAAUGUUCAUCCCUUGACGGUAUCUAACCAGAAAGCCACGGCUAACUACGUGCCAGCAGCCGCGGUAAUACGUAGGUGGCAAGCGUUGUCCGGAUUUAUUGGGCGUAAAGCGAGCGCAGGCGGUUUCUUAAGUCUGAUGUGAAAGCCCCCGGCUCAACCGGGGAGGGUCAUUGGAAACUGGGAGACUUGAGUGCAGAAGAGGAGAGUGGAAUUCCAUGUGUAGCGGUGAAAUGCGUAGAUAUAUGGAGGAACACCAGUGGCGAAGGCGGCUCUCUGGUCUGUAACUGACGCUGAGGCUCGAAAGCGUGGGGAGCGAACAGGAUUAGAUACCCUGGUAGUCCACGCCGUAAACGAUGAGUGCUAAGUGUUGGAGGGUUUCCGCCCUUCAGUGCUGCAGC